UACGAAGGGGGCUAGCGUUGCUCGGAAUCACUGGGCGUAAAGGGUGCGUAGGCGGGUCUUUAAGUCAGGGGUGAAAUCCUGGAGCCCAACUCCAGAACUGCCUUUGAUACUGAAGAUCUUGAGUUCGGGAGAGGUGAGUGGAACUGCGAGUGUAGAGGUGAAAUUCGUAGAUAUUCGCAAGAACACCAGUGGCGAAGGCGGCUCACUGGCCCGAUACUGACGCUGAGGUGCGAAAGCUAGGGGAGCGAACGGG
rnacentral:rRNA from 1 species